UACGGAGGAUCCGAGCGUUAUCCGGAUUUAUUGGGUUUAAAGGGUGCGCAGGCGGGAGAUUAAGUCGGCGGUGAAAUUUUGCAGCUCAACUGUAAAAGUGCCUUCGAAACUGGUUUCCUUGAGUGUAGAUGAAGUAGGCGGAAUUUGUGGUGUAGCGGUGAAAUGCAUAGAUAUCACGAGGAACUCCGAUUGCGCAGGCAGCUUACUAAACUACUACUGACGCUCAGGCACGAAGGCGUGGGGAUCAAACAGGAUUAGAUACCUGUAGU
rnacentral:rRNA from 1 species